CUUCAUAAUGAGCAUAAAAUGACAAGCAUAUGACUGAACUUAAGUGAUGCCAUCUUAACCCUGUGAGG
rnacentral:snoRNA from 1 species